rnacentral:lncRNA from 1 species
AGACCCGCCACGAUCCGCCUGCCAAGUCCAAGGUCGGGCGCGUGAAAAUGCCUCCUGCAGUGGACCCUGCGGAAUUGUUCGUGUUGACCGAGCGCUACCGACAGUACCGGGAGACGGUGCGCGCUCUCAGGAUAGCUAGGUUGCAGCUCGAAGCACAGGCCCAGGAGCUGCGGCAGGCUGAGGUCCAGGCCCAGAGGGCCCAGGAGGAGCAGGCUUGGGUGCAACUGAAAGAACAAGAAGUUCUCAAACUGCAGGAGGAGGCCAAAAACUUCAUCACUCGGGAGAACCUGGAGGCACGGAUAGAAGAGGCCUUGGACUCUCCGAAGAGUUAUAACUGGGCGGUCACCAAAGAAGGGCAGGUGGUCAGGAACUGAGAACAGAGGCCUCUCAGGCCCAAAUAAGGACAGUGCUUGCCUAGGGACUGGAUAUUGGGGUAGAAAUUGGUGCAUCCCAGGAGGGUGGCACAGCCUUGUCCAGAGCAGCCCCCAUUCAUUCUAGAUUUGGCACCAGGUAUAGUACCCUGUUCUGACACCACAUACAAACUCCGGACAGCAUUAAACUCUGGGAAGUUCCUAUCACACAGAAGAUCAGACUGGACUGUCCCCUCUAGAAGCCAAGAGCUGUCUCCUGAGUUUCUUGGAAUAGUGUGAGCCCAAUGUU